rnacentral:lncRNA from 1 species
CUGGACAACUAACCUUCGUCAAAUCGACGAAUACGCGACACAAAAUAGGCUAUAUCUUUUUAAAGCGGGCGCCAGUGAUCGUGUCGCGACAUGUCAACUCAGUGCUUCUCGCGCUCUUUCAGAAAGCGGUUGUGUGCGGCAGUUUUCUUUGUGAUGGCUUCAAAACAACCACUAUCGGAAGAAAAUAUUACUAUAAUGUGUCAACUCUGGGACAAAAGAUAAUGAGCCGUCGUAAUUAUAUGAAAGAAUUGCAUUCCCAACUUGUAAAACCGUGGCUCGAAACACGACUGCAAAUGCCCACAAUGCCCACGCAUACAAAAACGAAAAUACAAAAUGUAUUAGGGAUUGGUACUGAUGUUGAAGGUGGUGAUCGUGACGAAGUGCAGUCAACGUCGAGAAAUGAGUCUGUAUCGACAGGUCAAAAUAUAAGAAAAAGGAAAAUUUUGCGGUAUAUGUUCCUAUAAGAACACACAGAGAACUCACAGUGCAGCAUCGCAAUCUGCGGUGAACAUAAGAUUGAUUUCUGCACUAGUUGCGCAGACAAAAAAUAGCUUUUAUAUAUUUUUUUAUAUUACUUAGAUAUCGUUCUAUAAGUACUUAAGAGAAAAAUAUGAUUUUUUUUUGUUUAAAUAUUUUUGUUAAUUUUCCAAAGAAUAACGUUUUUUUGAUCUCAUGAAAACCAAGUGCUUUACUAAAAAUGUUAAGUUUGAAUAAAUAUUUCUCAUUACUUUA